rnacentral:rRNA from 1 species
UAGGGAAUCUUCCACAAUGGACGAAAGUCUGAUGGAGCAACGCCGCGUGAGUGAUGAAGGGUUUCGGCUCGUAAAACUCUGUUGUUGGAGAAGAACAGGUGUGAGAGUAACUGUUCACAUCUUGACGGUAUCCAACCAGAAAAGCCACGGCUAACUACGUGCCAGCAGCCGCGGUAAUACGUAGGUGGCAAGCGUUGUCCGGAUUUAUUGGGCGUAAAGCGAGCGCAGGCGGUUUCUUAGGUCUGAUGUGAAAGCCUUCGGCUUAACCGGAGAAGUGCAUCGGAAACCAGGAGACUUGAGUGCAGAAGAGGACAGUGGAACUCCAUGUGUAGCGGUGAAAUGCGUAGAUAUAUGGAAGAACACCAGUGGCGAAGGCGGCUGUCUGGUCUGUAACUGACGCUGAGGCUCGAAAGCAUGGGUAGCGAGCAGGAUUAGAUACCCUGGUAGUCCAUGCCGUAAACGAUGAGUGCUAAGUGUUGGAGGGUUUCCGCC